rnacentral:rRNA from 1 species
UACGUAGGGGGCAAGCGUUGUCCGGAAUUAUUGGGCGUAAAGCGCGUGUAGGCGGCUUUGCAAGUCGGGUGUGAAAGCCCUCGGCUCAACCGAGGAAGUGCGCCCGAAACUGCAGGGCUUGAGUACCGGAGAGGGUGGCGGAAUUCCCCAAGUAGAGGUGAAAUUCGUAGAUAUGGGGAGGAACACCGGUGGCGAAGGCGGCCACCUGGACGGAUACUGACGCUGAGACGCGAAAGCGUGGGGAGCAAACAGG